rnacentral:rRNA from 1 species
UGGAAGGGCCAUCGCUCAACGGAUAAAAGGUACUCCGGGGAUAACAGGCUGAUACCGCCCAAGAGUUCACAUCGACGGCGGUGUUUGGCACCUCGAUGUCGGCUCAUCUCAUCCUGGGGCUGGAGCAGGUCCCAAGGGUACGGCUGUUCGCCGUUUAAAGAGGUACGUGAGCUGGGUUUAGAACGUCGUGAGACAGUUCGGUCCCUAUCUGCCGUGGGCGCAGGAGAUUUGAGAAGAGUUGCUCCUAGUACGAGAGGACCGGAGUGAACGAACCGCUGGUGUUCGGGUUGUCAUGCCAAUGGCAUUGCCCGGUAGCUACGUUCGGAACUGAUAAGCGCUGAAAGCAUCUAAGCGCGAAGCAGGCCUCGAGAUGAGUUCUCACUAGACUUUUAAAGUCUCUGAAGGGCCGUUGAAGACUACAACGUUGAUAGGCAAGAUGUGGAAGUGGUGUGAGCCAUUAAGCUAACUUGUACUAAUUACCCGUGAGGCUUAACC